UUAUUUGUAGUAUAGGGUGGUUCACAGGGGUGUCGUAAAGCGUCAAAGUUAUUGUAAAAUAGUGUGAAAUUAAUCAGAUCCAGGAAACAUGAUAAUUAUUUCAUCAAUAAUUUACAUAAUUAGCCACAUGGUUAACAGAUGACAUCAACAUAAGUUUUUGUCAAUAACGGAUAUCCUGUUGUGAUAGUUUCCCUUCAAACAAAGACAUAAGAAACUUGUAUAUAUAAAGUUGCCGGUGGUUAGAUGUAUUUGCAUAGUUCAGUAUAUAAAGAGAUAAGAGACGGUGGUUAUUCGGUAAUUUAUUUUACGGACGGUGACAAUAUUUGAAGAAAAAAAAAACAUGUCUGAAAAUACUUUUGUAAAAAAGCGUCAUAUUUGGAUAUUUAUUGUGUUCAUACUUAUGCUACAUAUAAUUAUAUAUGUAAUGACUGAAGUAAAAUUUAACGGAAAUAUUCGAAAUAAACCCGAUGUUUUAAUGAAUGUGUACACGAGAUGGACAGGGAUUUCGGUGAGAUUCAGGAGUUUAAUUGGGAAGUUACUCGUAAACGGACCUAAAGUUGCUGGACAUGCAGCAGACGACAAGACGAAAACAAAAUAUUCUGAAAACGAAGCUGAUAUAUCCGUGAUAGUUGAUCGUUAAAAUCAUGAAAUCAGAAAAGACAUAUACCUAUUAUAUUCAGGAUUCAGUUAAAAAGAGUGGUUUGGAUUUCACAUCCUUAUUUGAGAAAAAAGAUUCUGGGGCAGUUGGUAAUCUGCCAAAUAGUCGUUGAUAUCGGUUGCUUGGUAACAAAGGGUCAAGUAGUUCGACACCAGAAAGAAAGCAACAAAAAACAACAACAAAUAAUCUUAAAAUUAAUUACAUAGUCUAUGGAUAAUCAAGAAUUAUAAAGAAAUUAUAAAUGAUAAGAAUUAUAAAUGAUAAAUCGUAGAGGGUUUUUAUAAAAACAACGAAGUUUCCCUACAAUGAAAUCAAUACGCGUUAAAGCCCAUGUGACUUAGCACGUGAACGACAUAUGUCUGAAGUCAGUAACGGACAGGAAUGUCAAUGUGUAUGUUAACUAUCAUCUUUUAAUAAACAACAACAACAACGUUUUUUAAUCAUUAUUGCUUCUCAUAAUAUGUAAUAAUUUUCUUCUCUGAAUAUGUUAUAAUUUUCAACACUAGCUAUGCUGUAAUUGUAAAUAUAUAUAUACACGUGCCCUCAGUUAUAGCUGAUCUGCAAGUUCUGUCAGUGCUUUGAUUGAGGCAUGUCUUCUAUUUUUCAGGAAUAUAAAUAGACAUUUAGACAUGGUAAUGAUUUCUGUAAUAUAACAAACAAAACAAUUUAAUGGAAAUAUGACUGUUUAUUACUAAUCGGAAGUCAGUUAUUUACGAUAACUGUAAAUCGUGUAGUUAAAAGUGUGCAAACCUUUUCAACUUAUUUGACUUUUGUCCAGCUGAUAUGUCAUUGUAACUGACAAAAAAGAAAUUCACCGAAAUUGUUUCAGUUGUUUUACAAAAGUGUUUAGUUAUAUUUAGCUUCCCAAAUUUUAGAACCUCGUAACAAUGGAUCACUUGAUGGCCAUAAGUUAUUGUACAGAAGUGUAAAUGUUAUUCAGAUUUCAGAUAAGAAAGUUACAGUUCCAGAUAUACAUGUAUGAUCAUUUCUUUAUCGUUAUGAAUUUACAUAAUUAUCCAGAUGACAUGCAGAUAAAUCUUAUGUCCAUAAAGGUGUUCCUGGUGUGAUAUAUUUUUUUUUUUCGGUAUGAGAUAAGUAUAUUCAUUCGUUGGCAGUAUUACAAUAAGCUUUAUGUUUUAAAGGCUGUAUCUAAGAGAUGAACAGGAGUUAAUAUAUUCAGUGCACAUUUUAAUUUUGGUCAACGUAUAAGAAAGGGAAUAACAAAAAAAAACAAAACAAGAUUAAUAAAAUUGUUUUUAUAAAGCUUAUAUUUGCUGUCGCUAGCGUUUAGAUACAUUCAGAUUUAUUCGUUUAAUUCAUUUAUGGUUGUAUAUUUAUAUGUAUUGUAUUAGAAAAAAGAACAUAAAUAAAAUUU